GACGAACGCUGGCGGCGUGCUUAACACAUGCAAGUCGAACGGAAAGGCCCUGCUUUUGUGGGGUGCUCGAGUGGCGAACGGGUGAGUAACACGUGAGUAACCUGCCCUUGACUUUGGGAUAACUUCAGGAAACUGGGGCUCAUACCGGAUAGGAGCUCCUGCUGCAUGGUGGGGGUUGGAAAGUUUCGGCGGUUGGGGAUGGACUCGCGGCUUAUCAGCUUGUUGGUGGGGUAGUGGCUUACCAAGGCUUUGACGGGUAGCCGGCCUGAGAGGGUGACCGGCCACAUUGGGACUGAGAUACGGCCCAGACUCCUACGGGAGGCAGCAGUGGGGAAUAUUGCACAAUAGGCGGAAGCCUAAUGCAGCAACGCCGCGUGCGGGAUGACGGCCUUCGGGUUGUAAACCGCUUUCGCCUGUGACGAAGCGUGAGUGACGGUAAUGGGUAAAGAAGCACCGGCUAACUACGUG
rnacentral:rRNA from 1 species